UUUGGAGAUCUCACCUGCAGCUAAAUCUAGUCAUGGGCGGGUGUUUUUGACGUCACUUUGAGAAUAAAAGUUUCUGUCCUGCCCCCUCACUGAGCACAGACCCUUGGUCCAGCAGUAAACUUCUCUGGAAGAAGACAACACAGGCACAGAAAUGAAUAAAAUUUGGAUAUUGUGCUUUGCGGUGCUGAUCAUAACCAUACCAUUUUCAACUCAGGUGAGCUCUGAUCAGAAGUCAGGCGACACACCCUCUAAUCCUUCCACAAAUUCCAGUGCUGUAGGAUUGGGUCCUGUGCCCACCACACUGUACAUGCUGAUCCCAGCAGCCACCCUGGGCUUCAUCCACAGUAGAUCCUGAUGGAUGGAGAGUGUUCGCCAUAGAUGACCAAAACUGAGACAGUGGCGAAAUGGACA